rnacentral:rRNA from 1 species
AUUGAACGCUGGCGGCAGGCCUAACACAUGCAAGUCGAACGGUAACAGGAAGAAGCUUGCUUCUUUGCUGACGAGUGGCGGACGGGUGAGUAAUGUCUGGGAAACUGCCUGAUGGAGGGGGAUAACUACUGGAAACGGUAGCUAAUACCGCAUAACGUCGCAAGACCAAAGAGGGGGACCUUCGGGCCUCUUGCCAUCGGAUGUGCCCAGAUGGGAUUAGCUAGUAGGUGGGGUAACGGCUCACCUAGGCGACGAUCCCUAGCUGGUCUGAGAGGAUGACCAGCCACACUGGAACUGAGACACGGUCCAGACUCCUACGGGAGGCAGCAGUGGGGAAUAUUGCACAGUGGGCGCAAGCCUGAUGCAGCCAUGCCGCGUGUAUGAAGAAGGCCUUCGGGUUGUAAAGUACUUUCAGCGGGGAGGAAGCGAGUAAAGUUAAUACCUUUGCUCAUUGACGUUACCCGCAGAAGAAGCACCGGCUAACUCCGU